UUGACUUCUCCAGUUUCGGAUUUUCUGUUGCCGAUGUCCCUCAUCACUCACCCAACAAAGUGUGUGACAGUGGUGUUUUCGUUAUGACAUUCCUAGAGCAUUGGAGCGGAAGGUUGGCUGUUCGGCUUACAGAGGAAAAUGUUGGCAAGUAUCGAGUGCUGUACACAGCUCGAUUGUGUAACUCAGCGGAGAACUCAAAGUUUCCGGACAGCUUCGCAAACCUGCAAGUACCUAAACGGGCGCAGUUGAAUGUUGGUAAUGCCUGAUUUAUA